rnacentral:rRNA from 1 species
AUUGAACGCUGGCGGCAUGCCUUACACAUGCAAGUCGAACGGCAGCACGGACUUCGGUCUGGUGGCGAGUGGCGAACGGGUGAGUAAUAUAUCGGAACAUGCCUUGUAGUGGGGGAUAACUAUCCGAAAGGAUAGCUAAUACCGCAUACGCUCUAUGGAGGAACGCGGGGGAUCGUAAGACCACGUGCUAUAAGAUGGGCCGAUAUCUGAUUAGAUAGGUGGUGAGGUAAAGGCUCACCAAAGCGACGAUCAGUAGCUGGUCUGAUAGGACGACCAGACACACUGGAAAUGAGACACGGGCGGUACUCCUACGGGAGGCAGCAGUGGGGAAUUUUGGACAAUGGGGGCAACCCUGAUCCAGCAAUGCCGCGUGAGUGAAGAAGGCCUUCGGGUUGUAAAGCUCUUUUGUCAGGGAAGAAACGGUUGUGGCUAAUAUCCUUGGCUAAUGACGGUACCUGAAGAAUAAGCACCGGCUAACUACGUGCCAGCCGCCGCCGUAAAAC